AAGGAAGGACUGAAGACAAAAGAAACUAUGGGCUGCUCUCUCUUUCCCUUUCUUUCUAUGUCACCAUUUUCACUUAAGUGGUUGGUCGAUACAAGGAAUUAACACUAAUGCUAUGUGCAAAUGGGAUAGGAAGAAAUGGCAGCAUGCAUUAUGCACACCUCUCCUCUGCUCAGACUCAAAUUAUCGAAACUUCAGAGGAAAAAUUUAAACUUUCCUACACCAGAAUCAGCUUGAGAGAAGAACCUAGUUGCCACCCCAGCCAGAGGGUUCCUGUGGAAGCCACCAGCACA
rnacentral:lncRNA from 1 species